CGGCCUAGGAGGGACUUCCUCCUCUUUCGGCCCCGCCUCCUGGCUCGGGAAUCUCUGUUGGGCGGGGAAGUCUCGCGAGCUUUCCUCCCUGCUCCGCGAGAAAUUGUCUGUAGAAGGUUGAUGGAGCAGUGGUGUUUGUUGCUGAACUGUUUUCCGGAUUUGUAGGGCGGAUGUUGAAUGGCGGGUUGUCAACUCUGGACUUGCUGUCAACUGACCAGAGCCAGGCUGGGAAGUCCGAAUGCGUGGACAGGUCUAGGGCGAAGCCAAGUGUAGGGACUCAUUCUGUCAGCCCGAAAAGGGCUGGGGGCGGGGGUUGAGGGUGUUUGAGUCUUAUGUGAAGUCGAGCCCCUCACCCAUUAAAAUCCGUUAUAGAAUCUGCGAGACUUCAUCCGGGAAAGUGUUCCAUGGCCACGGUGAGCAGUGGGCGAUCUUAAUGUUCCACAAACGCGUUGACAGUUCUUAUUUCCCGCCAAAGCGUUCUUCCGUUAGCCUCUUAGCACGGACCAUUAAAAGGCUCGGAGAGAAACCGGCCGCAGCGACGAGGCAAGCGCAGGCGGGCAGCCUCACAGUCCUCGUGUGCCGCAAGAACGAAGGGUUCCUGGCGUUCAGUUAACGUCGCUCGCCCGAAGGCCGUGGCUCCCAGUGUAGUUCAGCUGCCUCUCCGUUCUCUUAUUUGGUCCCUCAGCUCAACCACUUGAAAGAUGAACAUGGGGAAGGUACACACGUUGGUCCCGCGGUGUAUUUUGGGAGUUGUAGUCAUCUUUAUGGUUGUCAAAGUGUGUUUAUGUUUUGGCGAGAUUAGUUAGGCGUGAACUCAUCACCAUACGUUUAAAGGGGUGUCUUAUGCACCUAGUCGCUUGAUUAAAAACGAUUUCAAAUUUUGAUCUAUCUUUGCUUUUUCAAAAAUGUAUAAAGGAUCAAGAAAGUAUAAAGGAUCAAGAAAAUUAGCCUGGUCUGCAGCCAUUCAUCUGUAAAGACUGCACAUAGAAAAACAGACAGGAGCAUCUCUUUGAGGACCAGGCCAGCCUAUGGAUCCUGCUGAGGACAGAAGAGGUUGCCGGUUCCCUUGGAACUGCAGUUUACUGGUAGUUGCCAUAAACUACCACUGUAAGCCACCACAUGGGUGCUGGGAACCCAGUCCUAACUGCUGAGCCAUCUCUCCAGCCCAUUUCUAAGUUUUGACUGCUGUUUGCCAAACUAUGGACAUUACAUACAUUGAAUCUUAUGCUCGAGGUUUUGAAAUCGUUUUGCUCAUUGUCUGCAAUAUUUCCCUCUUUGCCACUAGAAGAAAAAGCAACACAAUAAAAAUUGUAACUCCAUCAAUACUAGAGAUUGCACAUAGACCUCAUGCAUGGUGUGCAAACACUCUACCACUGAACUAUACCCUCAACCACUGGAAUGUCUUCUUACAGAACCCUGAUUAUUCUGGAAUGUAGACCAAGCCAACAUGGAAGAAUCAGAGAACCUCCUGCCUUUGUCUCCUGGGUGUUGGGAUUAAAAAUAUGUGUGCCACAAGGCCUGGCUGCUGCUUCAUUUUUUGACUCAGGAAUUUUAAAGAGUAUUUUUAGAUUUUCAAAUGACAGGCUAUAGGACUAGCACCUUAAGAUUCUGAUGCAAAUGAGAGAGGAACAUUGUACAUUAAUUCUUUCCUAGGUGCCUACUCAAGCAAAGUGUUAACUAUACUUCUAGAAGAUAAUGUGACCAUCACCUCAUGAUCUAGCAUUAUAAAUUUAAGAUAAAGCUGAGGAACUAUGAGAAUAACUGAGUUUUUCAAGAUCUUACCACUGAAAUUUGAAAAUAAAUCUGUAUUUAAAAAACAAAUCUUUAAUAUCUUUAUACUAGAGAUUGCACAUAGACCUCAUGCAUGGUGUGCAAACACUCUACCACUGAACUAUACCCUCAACCACUGGAAUGUCUUCUUACAGAACCCUGAUUAUUCUGGAAUGUAGACCAAGCCAACAUGGAAGAAUCAGAGAACCUCCUGCCUUUGUCUCCUGGGUGUUGGGAUUAAAAAUAUGUGUGCCACAAGGCCUGGCUGCUGCUUCAUUUUUUGACUCAGGAAUUUUAAAGAGUAUUUUUAGAUUUUCAAAUGACAGGCUAUAGGACUAGCACCUUAAGAUUCUGAUGCAAAUGAGAGAGGAACAUUGUACAUUAAUUCUUUCCUAGGUGCCUACUCAAGCAAAGUGUUAACUAUACUUCUAGAAGAUAAUGUGACCAUCACCUCAUGAUCUAGCAUUAUAAAUUUAAGAUAAAGCUGAGGAACUAUGAGAAUAACUGAGUUUUUCAAGAUCUUACCACUGAAAUUUGAAAAUAAAUCUGUAUUUAAAAAACAAAUCUUUAAUAUCUUUAA
rnacentral:sRNA from 1 species